rfam:Loxodonta africana unplaced genomic scaffold scaffold_32, whole genome shotgun sequence.
GCACUGGUGGUUCAGUGGUAGAAUUCUUGCCUUCCCUGCGGGAAACCUGGGUGCAAUUCCCUGCCAACGCA